AGAAUCGUACUUCACAGGAUCAUUUCUGUAGUACGCAUUCUCACACUUGACUAUCAACAGUUGAGUAGAUUAUUACCACGAUGAUGAGUGAGAGUAACUUUUCCAGAGCGUGAGGCAGGCAGGUGAGUCUAUUUUAGACACAUUCUGCAAUCGAUGAUCGUUCAGCUCAGGUUUCGGCUUGGGUGAGGGAGGAGUUACAUUCAGAGUGGU